rnacentral:rRNA from 1 species
GACGAACGCUGGCGGCGUGCUUAACACAUGCAAGUCGAGCGGAAAGGCCCCUUCGGGGGUACUCGAGCGGCGGACGGCUGAGUAACGCGUAGGAACGUACCCCAAACUGAGGGAUAAUCCACCGAAAGGUGGACUAAUACCGCAUGUGCUCUUCGGAGUAAAGCUUCGGCGGUUUGGGAACGGCCUGCGUCCGAUUAGGUUGUUGGUGAGGUAAUGGCUCACCAAGCCUACGAUCGGUAGCUGGUCUGAGAGGAUGAUCAGCCAGACUGGGACUGAGACACGGCCCAGACUCCUACGGGAGGCAGCAGUAGGGAAUUUUCCACAAUGGGCGAAAGCCUGAUGGAGCAACACCGCGUGCAGGAUGAAGGCUUUCGGGUCGUAAACUGCUUUUACUAGUGACGAAUAUGACGGUAACUAGAGAAUAAGGAUCGGCUAACUACGUGCCAGCCGCCGCUGUAA